GACGAACGCUGGCGGCGUGCCUAAUACAUGCAAGUAGAACGCUGAAGGAGGAGCUUGCUUCUCUGGAUGAGUUGCGAACGGGUGAGUAACGCGUAGGUAACCUGCCUGGUAGCGGGGGAUAACUAUUGGAAACGAUAGCUAAUACCGCAUAAGAGUAGAUGUCGCAUGACAUUUGCUUAAAAGGUGCAAUUGCAUCACUACCAGAUGGACCUGCGUUGUAUUAGCUAGUUGGUGAGGUAACGGCUCACCAAGGCAACGAUACAUAGCCGACCUGAGAGGGUGAUCGGCCACGCUGGGACUGAGACACGGCCCAGACUCCUACGGGAGGCAGCAGUAGGGAAUCUUCGGCAAUGGACGGAAGUCUGACCGAGCAACGCCGCGUGAGUGAAGAAGGUUUUCGGAUCGUAAAGCUCUGUUGUAAGAGAAGAACGAGUGUGAGAGUGGAAAGUUCACACUGUGACGGUAUCUUACCAGAAGGGGACGGCUAACUACGUG
rnacentral:rRNA from 1 species